UACUUAUGGUGCGAGCGUUAAUCGGAAUUACUGGGCGUAAAGCGUGCGCAGGCGGUUUUGUAAGCCAGGUGUGAAAUCCCCGGGCUUAACCUGGGAAUGGCAUUUGGGACUGCAAGGCUGGAGUGCGGCAGAGGAGACUGGAAUUCCUGGUGUAGCAGUGAAAUGCGUAGAUAUCAGGAGGAAUACCGAUGGCGAAGGCAGGUCUCUGGGCAUUAACUGACGCUGAGGAGCGAAAGCAUGGGGAGCGAACAGG
rnacentral:rRNA from 1 species